GCUGGGAAUGGUGGCGCAUGCCUGUAAUCCCCGUGGCUUGGGAGGCUGAGGCAGGAGAAUCUCAAACCCAGCCUCAG
rnacentral:sRNA from 1 species